rnacentral:rRNA from 1 species
UUCAAUAAAAAAGUUUUUUACUGAACAAGCCCAAUCCCGUCUGAUCUCGGAAGCUAAGCAGGUCGAGCCUGAUUAGUACUUGGAUAGAAGACCACCUAGGAAGACCAGGUGCUGUAGGUG